GAGUUUGAUCUUGGCUCAGAGCGAACGCUGGCGGCAGGCCUAAAACAUGCAAGUCGAACGCCGUAGCAAUACGGAGUGGCAGACGGGUGAGUAACACGUGGGAACGUGCCUUUUGGUUCGGAACAACCCAGGGAAACUUGGGCUAAUACCGGAUAAGCCCUUCGGGGGAAAGAUUUAUCGCCAGAAGAUCGGCCCGCGUCUGAUUAGCUAGUUGGUGGGGUAAUGGCCCACCAAGGCUACGAUCAGUAGCUGGUCUGAGAGGAUGAUCAGCCACACUGGGACUGAGACACGGCCCAGACUCCUACGGGAGGCAGCAGUUAGGAAUCUUGGACAAUGGGCGCAAGCCUGAUCCAGCCAUGCCGCGUGAGUGAUGAAGGCCUUAGGGUUGUAAAGCUCUUUCAGCGGGGAAGAUAAUGACGGUACCCGCAGAAGAAGCCCGGCUAACUUCGUGCCAGCCGCCGCAGU
rnacentral:rRNA from 1 species